GAGAUGGCUCCAGGGAGACCUUAGAGCUCCUUCCAGUGCUUAAAGGGGCUUCAGGAGAGCUGGAGAGGGACUUGGGACAAGGGAUGGAGGGACAGGACACAGGGAAUGGCUUCCCAAUGCCAGAGAGCAGGGU